UGCCAAAACCACAUGCCAAUAUAUUUGUCGUGUCCUAUUUAUUUUAGGCAUUAAGAGGAGGAGUCCUCUUUCACUCCUCUUAAAAUCCUUACCAUCUUUUGACGCAUUCCUUUAUUUUCUCAUGUCAUGUGAUGACUCUUGAAAUUAUGAGCGUAGAAGAAAAGGAAGAGUCCUUCUCUGGCAGAAUUUGAACACCACAAAAUAAAUAGGACGCCCCUUCAUGAGUGCGUUG
rnacentral:lncRNA from 1 species